ACGCUCGACACCUACGGGAGCAGCAGUGGGGAUAUUGCACAAUGGGGGAACCCUGAUGCAGCGACGCCGCGUGAGGGAAGAAGGUUUUCGGAUUGUAAACCUCUGUCCUCAGGGAAGAAGAUGACGGUACCUGAGGAGGAAGCCACGGCUAACUACGUGCCACAGCCGCGGUAAUCUGAGCGGGCUGGCAAGGC
rnacentral:rRNA from 1 species